CCAGUAGCACCUUAGAGACCAACUAAGUUUGUUCUGGGUAUAAGCUUUUGUGUGCAUGCACAUGAAAGCUUAUACCCAGAACAAACUUAGUUGGUCUCUAAGGUGCUAUUGG